AGCCACCCGAACACUUUUCAGGAGUGAAGCCAAAAAAAAUGCAAGCCUGCCUGUUCGCAGGGGAAUCCGAUUCCUUGCUCUAAAUCUAUUAAUUACGAAACGUAAUCAAGGGUCCUGUUUUCGCUUCCCGAAGUGGCUGGAUGACCACGAAUUUGGAGAACCAGUCAGUUACUACGAGUAACACUGUAUUGCCGUUCUUGGACCGAGGAAAUGGCCCUACAAAAUCCACGGAGAUUACCUGCCAGGGCAACGAUGCCAGUUUUUGUCGUCCCAUUGGUGGCUUGCGAUUAGCAUUCGGGUACUUGACGCGCUUGCAGAUGUCACAGCCAAGGCAAUACUUCCUGACGUCAUCGUGCAUUUGAGGCCAAUAGUAAAGUUCCUGUAGUUUCCUCAGCGUCUUGAAUUGGCCAAAAUGAGCUGUGUCAUGUGCCUCAUGGAGUAGUUGAAUCUUCUCAUGAACCUGUGACUCUGCUGAUGCCAAUUCUUCAAACCGACUGCUACGCCAAUUUGAUCCUUCAACGAAAUAGGAAGGAUAUAUUUGAGCUAUUCUAAUACCUAUGCUUAAUAAUAAAAAAAAAUUCAAUUGCA